rnacentral:rRNA from 1 species
CCUACGGGAGGCAGCAGUCGAGAAUCAUUCACAAUGGGGGAAACCCUGAUGGUGCGACGCCGCGUGGGGGAAUGAAGGUCUUCGGAUUGUAAACUCCUGUCAUGUGGGAGCAAAUUAAAAAGAUAGUACCACAAGAGGAAGAGACGGCUAACUCUGUGCCAGCAGCCGCGGUAAUACAGAGGUCUCAAGCGUUGUUCGGAAUCACUGGGCGUAAAGCGUGCGUAGGCUGUUUCGUAAGUCGUGUGUGAAAGGCGCGGGCUCAACCCGCGGACGGCACAUGAUACUGCGAGACUAGAGUAAUGGAGGGGGAACCGGAAUUCUCGGUGUAGCAGUGAAAUGCGUAGAUAUCGAGAGGAACACUCGUGGCGAAGGCGGGUUCCUGGACAUUAACUGACGCUGAGGCACGAAGGCCAGGGGAGCGAACGGGAUUAGAUACCCCUGUAGUC